GGUUUAUUAUUAUUUUUCUAGUUUGCUUUGUUCAGGAUUUCUAAUUAGUAUUUGACAACGGUUUCUUAGGUAUAAUAGUAGCAGGAUUGUUUGUCUAUAAAUACCUAAGAAAUUUGGGUAUUUUUCUUAGCUUUGAUUAUUACGAUUAAUAUUGAGAAUUGAGAAGAGUUUUAGAGAACUUGUUUCUCUUAAUCUUGGUUUUUUCCUUGUUCUAAAAUCACAUGCACACACAAUGAAAUUUAU
rnacentral:misc_RNA from 1 species